GUCUGCAGCGAUGCUACCCUGAAUACAUCCAAUCUUGUCUGACCUCAGAAGCUAAGCAAAGUCUGGCCUGGUCAGUGCCCAGCUGGUAGAAUUAUUAUCUGUAUUUUGUAGACA
rnacentral:rRNA from 1 species